ensembl:misc_RNA Metazoa_SRP Metazoan signal recognition particle RNA
ACCGGGCGUGGUGGCUCACGCCUGUAAUCCCAGCAUUUUGGGAGGUCGAGGUGGGUGGAUCGCCUGAGGUCAGGAGUUCAAGAUCAGCCUGGCCAACAUGGUGAAACCCCAUCUCUA